rnacentral:rRNA from 1 species
AUUGAACGCUGGCGGAAUGCUUUACACAUGCAAGUCGAGCGGCAGCGCGGGGGCAACCCUGGCGGCGAGCGGCGAACGGGUGAGUAAUACAUCGGAACAUGUCCAGUUGUGGGGGAUAGCCCGGCGAAAGCCGGAUUAAUACCGCAUGAGCUCUGGCGAGGAAAGCGGGGGACCCGUAAGGGCCUCGCGCGACUGGGUUGGCCGAUGUCCGAUUAGCUAGUUGGUGGGGUAAAGGCUCACCAAGGCGAUGAUCGGUAGCUGGUCUGAGAGGAUGAUCAGCCACACUGGGACUGAGACACGGCCCAGACUCCUACGGGAGGCAGCAGUGGGGAAUUUUGGACAAUGGGGGAAACCCUGAUCCAGCCAUUCCGCGUGAGUGAAGAAGGCCUCGGUUGUAAG